rnacentral:lncRNA from 1 species
CAAGACAAUUUUUUCUAUUUUUAAAAAAUAUCUGUUGUAAUUAGGUAGAGUUUUAUCUUAUGUCCGAUAUGUACUUCUAUCAACUCAAUAGAUGUAUAAAUAUGUACACCAGAGACUCUUUGUAACCUGUCUGUACAACGUUUGAGCGGAUCGUCAUUCUUAGUUGUAGUUAUUGACAGAUCAGGCUCUCGAAUGAGUCCGACCUCCACCACGUGAGUUAGAUCUCGUCACCCAACGUGCUCUUAUUCUCCUGUAUAUAAUGGAUUGAUGAUGAAUAAGAAGAUCGACCCCAUUUCUCUUCCUCUGUGCCAUUCCUCUCCCUCUGUCGUAGUUCUUCAAUUCUCAACACGUUAUCAGCACGCUCUUCCUAAAACACAAAGAGGAAAAGAAGAAGAAGAGAAACAGAAGGUACGGUGUCCUGGGUCUCCUCGCCAUCGGCGAUCUCCCGUCGCCUUCGACAUCUUCUUCGCUGUACAAGGAGAAUGCGCGAUGGUCAUCGGCACAAUCUCCAUCGCCGGCGUCACCAUGGUGCUGCCUCCUCGCCAUCGACUGCAGCCGACCACAGUGAUCGACGGCGGCCAUGGCAGCCCGUGCGCCGGCUGUUGCCCGGCGC